rnacentral:lncRNA from 1 species
ACUAGCCAUGGUUGCAGAGUGAGAUCCCAAUGCUUCUACAUGAGGACAUUGCCUUUAAGGCCAAUCUAAUAAUGAUACAGAGAACAAAGAAUCUAGCACUACAUACACAAUCUGUCGAACUAAAAAAUCCUUCUGUCAAAGCCCUAAACAAAACCCCUAAUGAUCAAUUUUUCAUUACAAAAUAGAAUGCCAAGCUCCUAGCAGAAAACAUGAAAAUAUGGAAGCUAAGAAAAAGGCAAAACCAAUAGUAG